rnacentral:rRNA from 1 species
UACGUAGGGGGCAAGCGUUAUCCGGAUUUACUGGGUGUAAAGGGAGCGCAGACGGCAGCGCAAGUCUGAUGUGAAAUCCCGGGGCUCAACCCCGGAACUGCAUUGGAAACUGCGCAGCUCGAGUAUCGGAGAGGUAAGCGGAAUUCCUAGUGUAUCGGUGAAAUGCGUAGAUAUUAGGAGGAACACCGGCGGCGAAGGCGGCUUACUGGACGAAGACUGACGUUGAGGCUCGAAAGCGUGGGGAGCAAACAGGAUUAGAUACCCCGGUAGUCCCU